rnacentral:rRNA from 1 species
UACAGAGGUGACAAACGUUGUCCGGAAUUAUUGGGCGUAAAGGGCGCGUAGGUGGUUGAGUAAGUCAGGUGUGAAAGCUCUGGGCUUAACCCAGGAAUUGCAUCUGAUACUGCUCGGCUUGAGUACGGUAGAGGAGGGUGGAAUUCCCAGUGUAGCGGUGAAAUGCGUAGAUAUUGGGAGGAACACCGGUGGCGAAGGCGGCCCUCUGGACCGAUACUGACGAUCAGGUGCGAAAGCGUGGGGAGCAAACAGG